UUUCGGUUGUUGCACAAGGGGUCCCCGGGAGACCCGCCAGCCGCGGGCUCUCAGAGUAAAAGUGAAAAAGAAAAGAGAGGAGGAAAAAAAAAAAAAAAAAGAAAAGCCCAGACUCGCCCACCGCGGCGGAAGGCGCAAAGCAAAGGGGGAUUUUUCCGCACAGAGUGGAGGGGCCCAGAGCCGACUCGAUUUCCCCUCCUGCCCCCGCGCGCCGCCCGGGCCCACAUGGUGCGCGGCUCAGCAUCAGAGCGCAGGAACUUUAAAAUGUGCCAAGGUAGAGAUCUUGAACUUUAAAAAGUGUGACUUCGGAUACUUCCAACUUGAACAAGCUCAUGUGAUCUUAUGCAAGUUACUUAAGAUGUCUGUGCCUCGGUUUCCCCAAGUGUACAAAAAAGGAGAUGAUAAUAGUAGCAGCUGCUUCAAAGAUGCUCAUGGCGUGAACCACCUACUAAACACUAAAGAUUCCCAAGUUGAUUUCCAGUCCUGAUCUCACCUGGUGUUUCGGAUUCAUAUAGGAGAAAAGAAAAAUAGAGAUCUUGGAGACAUUGGAGGAUGCUGCAAAGGAAAUAGCUUUUGUUCCACCAGAUGAGCUACCAGGAGACCAGCUCUUGUUCAUCAUUUGGCCCCUUUUGACCUUGGGCAAGUCCCUUCCUCAUCUGUAAAAUGAAGAGAUGGGACCAA